rnacentral:rRNA from 1 species
GGAUCAUGGCUCAGGAUUAACGCUAGCUACAGGCUUAACACAUGCAGGUCGAGGGGAAACGACAUCGAAAGCUUGCUUUUGAUGGGCGUCGACCGGCGCACGGGUGAGUAACGCGUAUCCAACCUGCCCACCACUUGGGGAUAACCUUGCGAAAGUAAGACUAAUACCCAAUGAUAUCUCUAGAAGACAUCUGAAAGAGAUUAAAGAUUUAUCGGUGAUGGAUGGGGAUGCGU